rfam:Ovis aries breed Texel chromosome 3, whole genome shotgun sequence.
UCCCUGGCAGUCCAGAGGUUAGGACUCUGCACUUCCAAUGCAGGAGGCGCAGGUUCUAUCCCUGGUCGGGGGA